rnacentral:lncRNA from 1 species
GAAUAAUAAAAUAAAUUGAUACUAAAAUCUACUAACUAGAUCUUAGCAUCUGCUCACAAUAAAAAUAAAAGAUAGAAAUUUAAAAGUGCAAUAAAAUAAAUUUUACAUUAAUUGAAAGUUAAAAUUUAAUUAUACAAAAUUUAAGAAGAAUAAUAGAAUAAAAUAAAUAAAAUGGUAACAACUGAAAUUGAUUGGUGUAGCC